rnacentral:rRNA from 1 species
GGUGACCGGUGGUGGAGGGUGGGGGAGUGAGAAUGCAGGCAUGAGUAGCGACAAGGCAAGUGAGAACCUUGCCCGCCGAAAGACCAAGGGUUCCUGGGCCAGGCCAGUCCGCCCAGGGUGAGUCGGGACCUAAGGCGAGGCCGACAGGCGUAGUCGAUGGACAACGGGUUGAUAUUCCCGUACCCGUGUGUGGGCGCCCGUGACGAAUCAGCGGUACUAACCACCCAAAACCGGAUCGAUCACUCCCCUUCGGGGGUGUGGAGUUCUGGGGCUGCGUGGGAACUUCGCUGGUAGUAGUCAAGCGAAGGGGUGACGCAGGAAGGUAGCCGUACCAGUCAGUGGUAACACUGGGGCAAGCCGGUAGGGAGAGCGAUAGGCAAAUCCGUCGCUCACUAAUCCUGAGAGGUGACGCAUAGCCGGUUGAGGCGAAUUCGGUGAUCCUCUGCUGCCAAGAAAAGCCUCUAGCGAGCACACACACGGCCCGUACCCCAAACCGACACAGGUGGUCAGGUAGAGCAUACCAAGGCGUACGAGAUAACUAUGGUUAAGGAACUCGGCAAAAUGCCCCCGUAACUUCGGGAGAAGGGGGACCGGAAUAUCGUGAACACCCUUGCGGUGGGAGCGGGAUCCGGUCGCAGAAACCAGUGAGGAGCGACUGUUUACUAAAAACACAGGUCCGUGCGAAGUCGCAAGACGAUGUAUACGGACUGACGCCUGCCCGGUGCUGGAAGGUUAAGAGGACCCGUUAACCCGCAAGGGUGAAGCGGAGAAUUUAAGCCCCAGUAAACGGCGGUGGUAACUAUAACCAUCCUAAGGUAGCGAAAUUCCUUGUCGGGUAAGUUCCGACCUGCACGAAUGGCGUAACGACUUCUCAACUGUCUCAACCAUAGACUCGGCGAAAUUGCACUACGAGUAAAGAUGCUCGUUACGCGCGGCAGGACGAAAAGACCCCGGGACCUUCACUACAACUUGGUAUUGAUGUUCGGUACGGUUUGUGUAGGAUAGGUGGGAGACUGUGAAACCUCGACGCCAGUUGGGGCGGAGUCAUUGUUGAAAUACCACUCUGAUCGUAUUGGGCAUCUAACCUCGAACCCUGAAUCGGGUUUAGGGACAGUGCCUGGCGGGUAGUUUAACUGGGGCGGUUGCCUCCUAAAAUGUAACGGAGGCGCCCAAAGGUUCCCUCAACCUGGACGGCAAUCAGGUGGCGAGUGUAAAUGCACAAGGGAGCUUGACUGCGAGACUUACAAGUCAAGCAGGGACGAAAGUCGGGAUUAGUGAUCCGGCACCCCCGAGUGGAAGGGGUGUCGCUCAACGGAUAAAAGGUACCCCGGGGAUAACAGGCUGAUCUUCCCCAAGAGUCCAUAUCGACGGGAUGGUUUGGCACCUCGAUGUCGGCUCGUCGCAUCCUGGGGCUGGAGCAGGUCCCAAGGGUUGGGCUGUUCGCCCAUUAAAGCGGCACGCGAGCUGGGUUUAGAACGUCGUGAGACAGUUCGGUCUCUAUCCGCCGCGCGCGUCAGAAACUUGAGGAAACCUGUCCCUAGUACGAGAGGACCGGGACGGACGAACCUCUGGUGCACCAGUUGUCCCGCCAGGGGCACCGCUGGAUAGCCACGUUCGGUCAGGAUAACCGCUGAAAGCAUCUAAGCGGGAAACCUUCUCCAAGAUCAGGUUUCUCACCCACUUGGUGGGAUAAGGCCCCCCGCAGAACACGGGUUCAAUAGGUCAGACCUGGAAGCUCAGUAAUGGGUGUAGGGAACUGGUGCUAACCGGCCGAAAACUUACAACACCC